rnacentral:sRNA from 1 species
GCUGGUGGCGGUGGCGCACACCUGUAAUCCCUGUGGCUCAGGAGGCUGAGGCAGGAGGAUCCUGAGUUCAAAGCCAGCCUCAGCAACUUAGUGAGGUCCUAGCAACUCAGCGAGACCCUGUCUCUA